AAAGAAAAUAGUUCAGCACUAAGUCACUUUGUCAUUAUGGCAAAUGUGAGAUGCAGUGUAUGGUGCGUCUUCAAUCUGGUAUGAGAAAUUAACGAUUUAAGUCCUUCUUAAAUGAGGCCAAUUACCCAUAGAGGGUGCCAGGCCCGUAUAACGUUAAUGAUUAUCAGAAGGCGUUUCCAAAGAGUCGUGUUGCUUGAUAGUGCAGCACUAAGUUGGUGGUAAACUCCAUCUAAAACUAAAUAUAACCAUGAGACCGAUAGUAAACAAGUACCGUGAGGGAAAGUUGAAAAGAACUCUGAAUAGAGAGUUAAAUAGUACGUGAAACUGCUUAGAGGUUAAGCCCGAUGAACCUGAAUAUCCAUUAUAGAAAAUUCAUCAUUAGAAUUGUAAUAUUUUUCUUUUUAUAAAAUGAAAGAAAAUAUAUAUUUAUAAUGAUAGUGUGCAUUUUUUCUAUAUAAGGACAUUGUAAUCUAUUAAUAUAUAAAAAUAUUUAUCAUAAAAUCAUAUACAAUUUAUGUUUAUUCAAAUUAUUAUAGCUUGCUAUUUUAACAUAGAAUAAAUUUGUUUAAUGAUUUGAUAAAGUGUUGAUAGAUUUAUCAUAUAUACGAUGCUUUAAUUUUUUUUCUAAAAAAAUUAUAUAAUAGCAUAUUUAUCUUAUGAUAUUUAUGUUUAAUUAUAUGCAUUUGUAUGAUUAACAAUGCGAAAGAUUCAGGAUACCUUCGGGACCCGUCUUGAAACACGGACCAAGGAGUCUAACAUAUAUGCAAGUCAUUGGGAUAUAUUUUUAUAAACCUAUUGGCAUAAUUAACUUAACUGUAAUAUAUUUAUAUAUGGGAUUAGUUUUUAUACUAAUUUAUUAGUUUAUUAACACAAUCCCGGGGCGUUUUAUAUAAUUAUGUAUAAUAAUA
rnacentral:rRNA from 1 species